rnacentral:rRNA from 1 species
UACGGGGGGGGUAAGCGUUGUUCGGAAUUACUGGGCGUAAAGGGCUCGUAGGCGGCCAACUAAGUCAGUCGUGAAAUCCCUCAGCUUAACUGGGGAACUGCGUCUGAUACUGGAUGGCUUGGAUUCGGGAGAGGAAUGCGGAAUUCCAGGUGUAGCGGUGAAAUGCGUAGAUAUCUGGAGGAACACCGGUGGCGAAGGCGGCGUCCUGGACCAACACUGACACUGAGGAGCGAAAGCUAGGGGAGCAAACGGG